UACGGAGGGUGCGAGCGUUGUUCGGAAUCACUGGGCGUAAAGGGCGUGUAGGCGGUCCGCUAAGUCUGAUGUGAAAGCCCGGGGCUCACCCCCGGAAGGGCAUUGGAAACUGGCAGACUCGAGUCCCGGAGAGGAGGGUGGAAUUCCCGGUGUAGCGGUGAAAUGCGUAGAUAUCCAGCGGAACUCCGGUGGCGAAGGCGGCCUGCUGGACCCUCACUGACGCUGAGGCGCGAAAGCCAGGGGAGCGAACGGG
rnacentral:rRNA from 1 species